CUUCAUUUUGGGAACGAAAGAAUUGACAAAACCCAACCUUAUCUCCUUGAGAAACCCCUUCUUCGACAGACCUCGAGUCCUCGACCCUCUCCCUCUCUCUUCUUCGACACAACUCUCCCUCUCUCUUCUUGACAAGCCCCAACCUUAUCUCCUCCACAGACCCCGACCUAUCUUUUCUCUGACAAGCCCCAACAAAAGCUCUCCCUCUUCGACAAACCCCGACCAAAACCAUCUCUGCCUCUAGCUAGGUUAUUCGAUUUGGGAAAUAGGGAAGGGAAGAAAACUUAAUGGGUAGCCUCUAGGAAGUCUCAGAGCACCAAUUAAAGAGAGAGAAAGAGAGCGAUUUUUCGUUUCUAGGGUUUACGCGAUCAAUGCGAGUUCCAAAGAUGCAGAAGCUAGGGUUUCCGAGCAUGAGGAGCUUGGAUCAGUUCAAGUCCCUCUCCAAAUCGGUCUCAGGAGGACCUCCAAAAGACCUUCGCCUACUCUUCACGUCCGCCGGAGUCGACCUUGUUGGGAUGCUUGGCGUCAUGCUUCAACGCGAGACCAUGGAGAAGCUCCAGCGAUAACACAAUCAGGAAAAGUUGGAUGGGUGGAGAGGGAUGACAAUAUGUGGUGGGUUGAGCACAAAAUAUUGGUUCAGAAUCGAAAGGAAAGGAAACAUGAAGGCAUAUAAAGAUAGAGAAGGCCAUAUAUGAUCAAGUGCACAUCUUGGUGCUUCUGAUCUUGUUACGGUGUAAAAGAGCAUGGGAAAUUCUGAUUUGACAUUUUCAAAUUUUUGGUGUAAAAUUGACAUGAAGCAAAAUCUGUUGGGAUUAGGAAGGUUGUGAAUGGAUGGUAUCUUACUGCUGUGAAUGUCCUUGUCAAAGUGAAAAAAGAAAGAGAAGCCUUUUCCUGAGGUUUAAAAGCUGGAGAGAAUAAAGUCUGGCUCUUUAAAUUUAAAGUUUCAUCAAAGCCAAAUUCCAUACUGGGUAUUCUUCAUUUGACAUAUAGAGAUGCUUUCAUGUUGGUGAUCAAGAACAUCAAAGUCAGAAGAGAGUAUUUUUGGUGUACAAAGUGGUGAUCAUUCCGGCAACCACAAGCUUUUGAGUGCAGACAAAGUCAUGUGAAUCUUUCUUCCAUAUGGAAACGGUUUCAGUUAUUCCUUGAGCAGUUGCAUAGUGUUCUUCAAGAAAAUGAAGAAUCCGUUAGGUACCGAUGGUUCCAUUAGAGUCAUGAUGAGCUCAUACUUAGGAGCCGUGAUCAGUCAGUAUCCGACUAUGGAAAGUGUACACAAAUAUAAAGGAAGAGGACAUGGCAGAUUGAAGUAAUGCUCGGGUAUUCCUUUCUGAACUGUGAAUUUUGUUUCUCAUUUGUUCUUGGUAUCAAGUUUUCUUGAUGUGGUAGACCUUGACAACAGUAUUAUCUUUCAUUGUUUUGUUUUUGUUCAAGCAAAUAGCAUUAACUUAUAUAAGAAUGCAGACUGUGUUACAUAUGAAAUCUUCCCUUUUUUUUUUUCGGUUUUACAU